AGAGAGAGACAUGCGUGCAUAUCAAUAAGCGGAGGAAAAGAAACUAACUAAGGAUUCCCUCAGUAACGGCGAGUGAAGCGGGAAGAGCUCAAAUUUGAAAUCUUCAAGGUUCUACCUUGACGAAUUGUAGUUUAAAGAAGUGUUUUCUGUUGGAGUUUUGGUAAAAGUUCUUUGGAAUAGGACAUCAUAGAGGGUGAGAAUCCCGUAUUUGACCAUUAUUUCCAGCUUUGUGAUACACUUUCAAAGAGUCGGAUUGUUUGGGAAUGCAGUCCAAAAUGGGUGGUAAAUUUCAUCUAGAGCUAAAUAUUGGCGAGAGACCGAUAGCGAACAAGUACCGUGAGGGAAAGAUGAAAAGAACUUUGAAAAGAGAGUUAAACAGUACGUGAAAUUGUCAAAAGGGAAGCGUUUGACACCAGUGUUGUUUUCUCGAAAAUCAAUUAAAAAAGUUGGAUUUUGUGUUGUAUUGACCUUUAAUCAGCUUUCUGCACUCUUUUCUUGUCUUUUUUAAUGCACUUUUCGUUUAACAAGUCAACAUCAAUUUCUUUUGUUGUAAAAGGGUCAUUGGAAGGUGGCUUUCUUUUCGGAGAAAGUGUUUAUAGCCUUUGGCCUCUGCAAUCGGAGAGAUUGAGGUCUGCAGCGUAGAUCCUUCGGGGUUAGAUAGCAUUUGUGCUAAGUUAUAGCCUUUCAUAGACAACUUGUUGACUAUGAUCAGUCAUGUAGCUUACUCGCUUAUGCUAUUUUACCUACGCUUAGGAUGUUGAUGUGAUACUGCGAGCA
rnacentral:rRNA from 1 species